CGGCGAGCGAAGCGGGAAGAGCUCAAAUUUGAAAUCUGGUGGCCUCAGGUCAUCCGAGUUGUAAUCUAUAGAAGUGUUUUCCGUGCUGGCCCAUGUACAAGUCCCUUGGAACAGGGCGUCAUAGAGGGUGAGAAUCCCGUCCUUGACAUGGACUACCAGUGCUCUGUGAUACACUUUCAACGAGUCGAGUUGUUUGGGAAUGCAGCUCAAAAUGGGUGGUAAAUUCCAUCUAAAGCUAAAUAUUGGCGAGAGACCGAUAGCGAACAAGUACCGUGAGGGAAAGAUGAAAAGCACUUUGGAAAGAGAGUUAAACAGUAUGUGAAAUUGUUGAAAGGGAAACGAUUGAAGUCAGUCGUGCUCAAUGGACUCAGCCGUUCUGCGGUGUAUUUCCAUUGGGUGGGGUCAACAUCAGUUUUGAUCGCUGGAUAAAGGCAGGAGGAAUGUAGCACCCCCGGGUGAACUUAUAGCCUCUUGUCACAUACAGUGGUUGGGACUGAGGAACGCAGCAUGCCUUUAUGGCCGGGAUUCGUCCACGUACAUGCUUAGGAUGUUGACAUAAUGGCUUUAAACGACCCGUCUUG
rnacentral:rRNA from 1 species